rnacentral:rRNA from 1 species
UACGUAUGGUGCAAGCGUUAUCCGGAUUUACUGGGUGUAAAGGGAGCGCAGGCGGCGCGUUAAGCCUGGUGUGAAAGCCCGCGGCCCAACCGCGGGACUGCAUUGGGAACUGGCGCGCUGGAGUGCCGGAGGGGUAGGCGGAAUUCCUAGUGUAGCGGUGAAAUGCGUAGAUAUUAGGAGGAACACCAGUGGCGAAGGCGGCCUACUGGACGGUGACUGACGCUGAGGCACGAAAGCGUGGGUAUCGAACAGG